rnacentral:rRNA from 1 species
UCUCCUUAGGUGAACUUGGGGAGGGAUCAUUA